rnacentral:rRNA from 1 species
AACGAACGCUGGCGGCAGGCCUAACACAUGCAAGUCGAACGAACCUUCGGGUUAGUGGCGCACGGGUGCGUAACACGUGGGAAUAUACAUUUCGGUAAGGAAUAACACAGAGAAAUUUGUGCUAAUACCUUAUAAUGACUCCGGUCCAAAGAUUUAUCGCCGAAGGAUUAGCCCGCGCUAGAUUAGUUUGUUGGUGAGGUAAGAGCUCACCAAGACUACGAUCUAUAGCUGGUCUUAGAGGAUGAUCAGCCACACUGGAACUGAGACACGGUCCAGACUCCUACGGGAGGCAGCAGUGAGGAAUAUUGGACAAUGGGGGCAACCCUGAUCCAGCCAUGCCGCGUGAAUGAAGAAGGCCUUAGGGUUGUAAAAUUCUUUCAGAUGCGAAGAUAAUGACGGUACCAUCAGAAGAAGCUCCGGCUAAAUUCGUGCCAGCAGCCGCGGUAAAG